rnacentral:rRNA from 1 species
AGAAUCAACGCUGGCGGCGUGCCUAACACAUGCAAGUCGAACGCGAAAGGGGAGCAAUCCCUGAGUAGAGUGGCAAACGGGUGAGUAACACGUGGGUGACCUGCCUUCGAGUGGGGGAUAACGUUCCGAAAGGAACGCUAAUACCGCAUGACAUCCUGCUUUUGGAAAAGCGGCGAUCAAAGCCGGGGACCGCAAGGCCUGGCGCUUGAAGAGGAGCCCGCGUCCGAUUAGCUAGUUGGUGGGGUAAUGGCCCACCAAGGCGACGAUCGGUA